GAUAGCCUUCUUGAGAUGUUUGUAAGC
rnacentral:piRNA from 1 species